rnacentral:sRNA from 1 species
AGCAUGGCUCGCCUGCGCGUGCAA